UCUAUCUCUGCGAUGUCAGAAACCCUGUACCUCGGUAGAUGUAUGUUUCCGUGCUGCACACGUGACGUCAAUUAAUGUACACUUAAACCAGAAUCAGACAGAAGUAAAUCACAACAAAGGUAUGUCCGGGCAAAGUUGGAUGUAGAACGAAUGUGUCUCUCAGAUGGAGGAAGACUUCGUCAGCGCUUUACUCCGAAACUCGGGAAAUUCCCCUGAACCACAAAGAAGAGCUUCGCCGUCUGUUGACAAACCAUGCGCCUCCAAUUCCUACCAAAACUUGAGAAGUCCCGAGAUAUCGGGGAUGUGGGACUCGACUUUGGAUAUUUCUGUGACUUACGACACCGCCCCUGCCCGGACCUCAGAGCCCCGCUGGAUGCACGACACUGAGUACGCCCUCAUUGCAUACAGCAUUUACGGCUGCAUUUUGUUCGUUCUCGCCUGUAUUGUGACUACUCUCUUGGUCGUGUUCGGAAAUACAGAAAAGUCUACUUGAUUUGCUACAACUCACACUAUGAACACUUUGACCUAUAUGCUUUAGAGAAAGUUCACCAUGCAUUUUCAUACUAAUAUAAAGAAAUCAUUGUUUUCUUAAAUAGAGUAGAAUUUUAUUCUAAGUUCAAAAAGACAUGUAGUCGUGAUGCUUUGAAGAUUCUUCACUCAGACAGAGGGCUUUUUUCGCAAACCUUAGCUUCAUCAGAUCUGUAACCUGUCGUCCAAUAUCUCAAAGAGAAUGCAGCAUAAAAGUAAUCAAUUUAUAUUUUAUAAAAAUAUAACUUGCUUUGUAAAGGAUGUAGGCUGUAAACGUGAUGUAGGAAAUCGCUUUUCAGUCUUCAAUGCCCAAUACAUGUAGGCGCCAGUCAAGGUAUGGGCGGAAGUAAUGAACCCUGCAAAACUUCCUUAAUGCUAAUCAUCCGAGGAGGAAUCGUACACGCCAGAGCUCAGUUUAUAUGAUAUCACAAACUUCUCAGUUCUCGGACACAAACGUACAUUGAAUUUAAAGAAGGCCUUAAUGAGAAAAUGUUAUUGGAUUCCCUGUUUAUGAGCCCUCUUAAAACGAGAUACAAAACCUAGGCGGACUUUAAUUUCUGUUUAUGGCUCAUUUUGCAUUAGACGGAUAUAGUAAACGAAAAUAUCACGGCAGAGGAAAUUAAAAGUUUGAAAUCAUCAUUUCCUUGGACCCCGGCCAGUUCACAAAAUACAAAAUGUAAACGAAGAAUAAAGAUGUAAAUUAUUCAUUGAUUUUGGCAGGCUGUUAAAUUGUUUGUACGAAGCUGGAGCAGUCGAGCUUUUUUUCUCUCUGAAGAGAAAUAAAACGGCAAAUUUCACAAAAAUCUUUCAGCCUUGGCUAUUGCAUGUUAAUAGGAUUGCAUGAGGGUUUAUACGGAUUAUCGGCGAGGGUUAUAUACAGAUGUGUUUCUUAUUGAUCUGCCGUCAAUUGUAUUUGUGGAUGAUAAUUGAAUAUGUCAACAGCAUAAGCCGUUUGUGUAAGAGGUAAACCUGCACAAAUGACGGAGGGCUGUGUGUGAUUGGAUUUAACUUCUAAAAGUUUCGACAGAAAUAUAGUAACGCAAAUAUGCAACAACUAAAGUCUAUACCAUUUUAAUGUCCCUCGCUGGAAACAUUUUUUCACUUAAUGGAUUGGGUGUGUAGAUCUGAAAGAUUUACGGAAUUGUUCGCAAAAUCAUAUUCGUCAUUCUUUCCAAAGUGAAUUUCAUACAAUGGAUUCUUACCCUGAUCAGCCUGAGGAAGAUUUUAUUGCUACCCUCCUCAAACAGUCGUCUUCUUCGUCACACGAUAACAAGGCUUAUUCUACCACCCCCAGUAGAACUUCCAGCCCCCGGGAUUCCCGCACGAGUCAGCCCCUAGUGAGGCACAAUGGACACCAACAAUAUGGAAACCAAGCGACGACCCUCCAACAUAAAGACAAAACGGCGAGUCCACACGCCAGUCACCUCAGUCUCACGGAUCCAUUGCUAGAUGAUAAAGUCUACUCUGCUUUAGCAUAUGGAAUUUACGGACUACUUUUAUUUUUUCUCACUACCGUGACAACAAUUUGCCUCAUUGUACUCACAUAAACUAUUCAUGUCUAUAAAUAUUUCUACAUCGUUGUGUCUUGCCAACUUGGAGAAAAUUCAAUUUUGGUGAUCUGUGACAUGUCUUUAACUUUGUAUUAAAAUAACGAGAAAAAUAAAUCAGACUUUGGGAUUGUCAAUGGAUUAGCAUUUGUGACAAUAAAACGUCGAAUGAAUUGGAAAGGGGAUUGGAAAGGAACUUAAAGAAAAGGAAAUGUUUAGCAGUCCUUCCGGACCAAGAUAUUUCCUCUGUAUCGAACAUAUAGAAAAUUCAUUUGGUUGUAUUAAAAUAUGCUAUGUAAAUAUGAAAUGCUGCCUUAGAAAAAUAAAAAUAAAUCUGUC